rnacentral:lncRNA from 1 species
GACAAGUGAAACUCACAAAUAUACAUGUGUAUAUGUGAACAUUAUGUGAGCCACCAUUAUGUGAUAGUAGUACUCCCUUCAUCCCAUUAUAUCUGACGUUUUAGAGUAUUUUUUUAUUCCCAAAAUAUUUAUCGUUUUACCAUCCCAAGAAUAUUUUACCUAUUUUUUUCCUUCUCUACCCUUCCUUCUCCCCUUUAAUGGUUAUUUUCUCUGUCCCUCCGCAGAUGCUUGCUUAUCUCUACAUGACAUCUCUGUCCAAGACCACUUCCUUCUCAUCACCGGCCUCCGACGGCGACGCCGAGGAUUUGCGUAUGCGGGAGGCUGAGGAUCGGCUGAGGGAGGCCAUGGAGGAAUUGGAGCGCCGGCAGCGGCAUAUUCAUCUCCGUGCGAUCACGCCGACGAUUCAUUCGUCACCAACGCCAUCGGAAACCUCUGUCAGAGCUUCCUACUCUCGUACGGUGUUCGCGUAGGUUUUGGACAACCGGUCAGAUCCGGCCAUUGUUUUACUAACCGGUCAGAUCUCGGUCAGAUCCGGGCGACGAAAAGAUGAAGAAGACGGAGCGUAGGAUGAGAAAAGAGUGGAGUAUUUGAAUAAGAACUGAAAAUGAUUUGGAAAACCGUGUAAUUAAUUUUUGUGUCAUCUCGUUUCCCUGUUGUAGUAUUAAUUAUGAGUAUUCAGUAGUACUGUAAAAGGUUGGUGAUGAUGUUUGGCUGGGGCCAGGCUACCAUCUUUGUCUUUGAUGGGGUUUUUCUCCAAGUGUGGCUCAACAGUUGGAAUAAUAUUUUUCUUUAGAUGAUAGAGAUGAAGAAGACGAGUGCAGGCUGACAGAUCUGAUCGACAGAGCACAUGAUGAGUUAUAAUGAGAUAGAUGGUAAAAUAGUAAAAUUGCAUCUAUUCUUAAUUUGUGUGAAAAUCUGUAGAACCACAUAUAUAAUGGGAUGGAAGAAGUAUUAUUUUAUAAGCAUAUUGGGAUUAUAAGUAUAAAUAUUAUUAUAAUUAUUUGUAGAGAAUUCACAACAAAAAAUAAUAUUUCUUCAAUAAAAAUAAAAUCGUCGUUAUAGAUUUUAUAGUGACGUUUUUCAUCGUCAUUAUAGAUUUAUAACGAUACUUUUAUCGUAAAAUAUCAAAA